CCCCGGUAAACGGCGGCCGUAACUAUAACGGUCCUAAGGUAGCGAAAUUCCUUGUCGGGUAAGUUCCGACCUGCACGAAUGGCGUAAUGAUGGCCAGGCUGUCUCCACCCGAGACUCAGUGAAAUUGAACUCGCUGUGAAGAUGCAGUGUACCCGCGGCAAGACGGAAAGACCCCGUGAACCUUUACUAUAGCUUGACACUGAACAUUGAGCCUUGAUGUGUAGGAUAGGUGGGAGGCUUUGAAGUGUGGACGCCAGUCUGCAUGGAGCCGACCUUGAAAUACCACCCUUUAAUGUUUGAUGUUCUAACGUGGACCCGUAAUCCGGGUUGCGGACAGUGUCUGGUGGGUAGUUUGACUGGGGCGGUCUCCUCCUAAAGAGUAACGGAGGAGCACGAAGGUUGGCUAAUCCUGGUCGGACAUCAGGAGGUUAGUGCAAUGGCAUAAGCCAGCUUGACUGCGAGCGUGACGGCGCGAGCAGGUGCGAAAGCAGGUCAUAGUGAUCCGGUGGUUCUGAAUGGAAGGGCCAUCGCUCAACGGAUAAAAGGUACUCCGGGGAUAACAGGC
rnacentral:rRNA from 1 species